rnacentral:pre_miRNA from 14 species
CUAUUGACUGAUUGGGGCCGGGGGGUGAAAAGUUGUACAGCUCAUGUUUUUUUUUACACAUAAGCGUAUAGCUUUUCCCCUUUGGUUUUAAUUACUUCUACA